rnacentral:rRNA from 1 species
UACAGAGGUCUCAAGCGUUGUUCGGAAUCACUGGGCGUAAAGGGUGCGUAGGUGGCGUGGCAAGUCAGAUGUGAAAGCCCAGGGCUCAACCCUGGAAUUGCAUCCGAUACUGCCAUGCUGGAGUACUGAAGAGGUGACUAGAAUUCUCGGUGUAGCAGUGAAAUGCGUAGAUAUCGAGAGGAAUACCAAAGGCGAAGGCAGGUCACUGGGCAGUUACUGACACUGAGGCACGAAGGCCAGGGGAGCAAACGGG